CCAUACCACUUGGCGAGUUCCUCGUCAGCAGGAGCAACAGCAACAGGUUUCUGCUUUGGUGCUGGCUUCUUCUUGGAGAAAAGAGCCACUGUCUUGAAGGUGGCGGGGCUAGAGGGAGAUGGUGCUGACCUGGUGGCGCCACCGAAGUUGAUGGCGUUUCCAAGCAUUUCUGACAUGCCAAGGGAAGCCAUUUUUGGGAGAAGCCUCAGAAACUCAGGUGAAUUUGCCAAGCCAAGCAGGUAGAUGAAGUAUGAUGAGGAUCCAAAUUGCAAGAUACUACUAUAUGCAAGCUCUGGUGGAUGUGGACAUGCCACGUCAGAUUCAUGAUCAUGGGCAUUGAUUGGUCUACAUUAGAGAGUGUUAUCCAAUGCAAGGAUUUGAUUGGUUAAUACCUGAUACAAGGGAGAUGAUGUUGCUGAUGUGGGUGGCUCCUGAGCUGGUAGAUUGCUUGGUUUUGGAUAACAUGUUUUAUCAUUUGUUUUUGUAAUUUUCUUCUCUCAGGAGAAACAACAGCUACGACAUAAUAGUAAGUAAUUACAGUAACAAGAUUUACAGUUCUGGUGAAAAACUUCAAUUUGUUUUCUUCUGCAACCAUUCUGUGGGCAGAAUUGUAUUGCGAAAUGAGAAUCUAAACAAUUCAUAUGGACCAUGGAAUUCAGAAAGAGACAAAGCUUGUCAGUUUGGCACCACCACACAUGGGAAAUGGAUACCAUGUAGUUAGAGAUUCCCUACAUUCAUGCACUCAAACAAUUUAAGUCAUUCGAUCAACAACAGUCGGCUCAGAUUUUAAAUUGUUAUCUAUGGUUAGAUCUUUGUGAAAUAUGAGUUGACCGAUCUAGAUCCCACGGCUCAAAUUGUUUGACUACAGGUAUCCAUGAAUACAGGGAAUCCGAAUCCCUAGAAAUGGUCUUUUAUAGACAGUAAAACACUGCAAUAAGUGCUUCUAAGUUGAUACUAAACAAAUAGUAACUUGAUUUGUUAACAUUCUCAUAGUACUGAUAUCCAAUAGAUACAAAGAGUGAGAAAGGGAGAGAAGAGAGGAAAGUAAUGAAUGUAAUAUAUAUUGAAUAUGAUAAAAAGAGAGAAAAAUGGAAUGCAUGUAGGGUGUCUUAUUAGUGAAUCAAAUUAAGCAUUGCUGUUUCUCCAAGAAAAAAAAAGGUUGUAGAAUAGAGGUGGAAUGGAACUCAAUUUUAGUGAAGGGCAAAUAAUACCCCAGCUAAUAUGAAUUUUUAGUAUUUCAUGUCCUGCUCAUGCACUCUGCUGCUACAAGUCACAAGUCGCAACAUGCUGAGCUUGCCAUGAUUUAGUACAAAAUACUGACUGACAGAUCUUUAGUGUAUACAAUUGUACAUAAAAAAAAUAUAAGGACUCUUCAAUCAUCUUCUCCAUUUCUCAAUUUCUUUUGAUGUCUCCUUGAUGAGCUUUUUAGUAUUAAUGACAAUUUCAUCCACAAGUGCAGUAAUAUCAUCCCUGAAAUAACAGACAGAAUAUGCAUAUUAUAUUAAAAAUGAGAUAAAAUUAGAAACCAGCCACAGAACAUUUUUAGAUAUAACAAACUUUCACACAAUAAAAUCUUUGUAGCUAUAGUAUAUCUGAAGAUUUACGAAUAGAGCCCGUUAUAUCCACACCAUUGCAGAUUGUUAUCCUUUUAUUUAUUUGCAUACGUGGUGGAAUGCUAUUGCAGAUUCAUAGGAUCUACCCAACAAGAAUUUUUUAAGGAAGCAGAAUGUUCAAUCAUGUACAAGCUACAAGAUUAAGAAUUCAUACUCUUUAAGAAGCAAUUUUGCACAAUUUUCAUAUUACCGAGAUUCUUAUUGAAAAGUGGUGGCUUAAAGCCUCAAUCUGAUAGUCUUAUUAAAAAAUUCACCAAAGCUUGCUUCAAGGGUCUCGUGUUAGCCACACUCUCUAUGUAGGUGGACUUUACCGUCUUAGACAUGAAGGUUUCCAAAUAUGCAAAAAGCAUAAUUUUAUUAUACACCAAAGUCUUGUCAGUAUUUUUUUUUCUCUUUCCAAUGUGACUUAUCUAUUUGUUUCCAUUCACAUUUCUCUGUUGGAUUUACAUAGGAACAACUGAGAAAAUUAAAAUACAGGACUUUCCUCUAUUUUAGCAAUAAGAGUAGAAGUAUCAGCAUGGAGAACAGAAAGGUCGACAGAACAAUUAUCAGAAUAACAAAAUGAAAUGAAAUAACAUAAAGUCAACCAAAUGAGCAUAUUUAUUAUUUACAUUAAGAAAGGCAUAAAACUAAGGACAAUUGGUGCUGGCUUCUUCUUGGAGAAAAGAGCCACUGUCUUGAAGGUGGCGGGGCUAGAGGGAGAUGGUGCUGACCUGGUGGCGCCACCGAAGUUGAUGGCGUUUCCAAGCAUUUCUGACAUGCCAAGGGAAGCCAUUUUUGGGAGAAGCCUCAGAAACUCAGGUGAAUUUGCCAAGCCAAGCAGGUAGAUGAAGUAUGAUGAGGAUCCAAAUUGCAAGAUACUACUAUAUGCAAGCUCUGGUGGAUGUGGACAUGCCACGUCAGAUUCAUGAUCAUGGGCAUUGAUUGGUCUACAUUAGAGAGUGUUAUCCAAUGCAAGGAUUUGAUUGGUUAAUACCUGAUACAAGGGAGAUGAUGUUGCUGAUGUGGGUGGCUCCU
rnacentral:lncRNA from 1 species